UACGGGGGGAGCAAGCGUUGUUCGGAUUUACUGGGCGUAAAGGGCGCGUAGGCGGUCGUGACAAGUCACUUGUGAAAUCUCCGGGCUUAACUCGGAAAGGUCAAGUGAUACUGUCGGACUAGAGUACAGAAGAGGCGAGUGGAAUUCCUGGUGUAGCGGUGAAAUGCGCAGAUAUCAGGAGGAACACCGAUUGCGAAGGCAGCUCGCUGGGACGUUACUGACGCUGAGACGCGAAAGCGUGAGGAGCAAACAGG
rnacentral:rRNA from 1 species